rnacentral:rRNA from 1 species
UACAGAGGUGGCAAGCGUUGUUCGGAAUUACUGGGCGUAAAGGGCGCGUAGGCGGCCAUCUAAGUCAGACGUGAAAUCCCCCGGCUUAACCUGGGAACUGCGUCUGAUACUGGACGGCUUGAGUACGGGAGAGGGAUGUAGAAUUCCAGGUGUAGCGGUGAAAUGCGUAGAUAUCUGGAGGAAUACCGAUGGCGAAGGCAGCAUCCUGGACCGUUACUGACGCUGAGGCGCGAAAGCUAGGGGAGCAAACGGG